GACGAACGCUGGCGGCGUGCCUAAUACAUGCAAGUCGAACGCAGUGGGGACGUGUGCGUAACACGUGGGUAACCUCCCAUCAGAGGGGAUAACACUUGGAAACAGGUGCUAAACCGAUCCUGAUGGAUGGACCCGCGGUGCAUUAGCUAGUUGGUGAGGUAACAGCUCACCAAGGCCACGAUGCAUAGCCGACAGGGGAGGGUGAUCGGCCACACGGGGACUGAGACACGGCCAAGACUCCUACGGGAGGCAGCAGUAGGGAAUAGUCGGCAAUGGACGAAAGUCUGACCGAGAAACGCCGCGUGAGUGAAGAAGGUUUGCGGAGCGUAAAACUCUGUUGUUAGAGAAGCGGUAUCUAACCAGAAAGCCACGGCUAACUACGUGCCAGCAGCCGCGGUAAUAC
rnacentral:rRNA from 1 species